GGACAGGGCAAUGUUUGAGAAUCGAGACACGGGAGGGAUGUGAUCCGAAUCCUACGACUCCAGCGAUAUCCAUCAACCAUCGAGGGUUCGUUAAUCCCCUCUCUCAAACCCCUCACGCUCCGCUCCAGCCUCCAGGGGUUUUCUCUCCCUUCUUUCGACCCCCGCGCCCCCAAGAAAAGGAAGGCAACAUUUCCCUCCGAAGCUCCCACUCAAAAACCCCAACCUUUACCAUCGGAUGGCGGAAGAAGGCGGAGGCCAUCAGGUGGAGGAGGCCCUGCGUCCUCCGAAUCCGAGGACGACGUGGGAGGGCUGCAGCGUCCUCCUCGACAUCAACGACGGCGACCGUCUCGUCUUCGCCCGGCUCUCCCCCGCAGCGAGUUUGAAGAUUGGGAACAAGAAGUGCUUCUUGAGCCCCUUGAUCGGCUGCCCCUAUGGCUCGUUGUUCCGAGUCGACACCGGCCCCGACGGUCCCCAUCUGACACGCAUCUCUUCUUCCUCUGCUCCGUCCCACGAUAAUUGCAUGCAAGAAAGUGAUGAUGGGCAAUCAAUAGAUGAACUUAAAGAUAAUAGAUCAUUGAUUGACAAUAACACAGCACAAAGUCUGUCUAGCAAUGAUAUAGAUGCAAUGAAGAGGGAAGGUGCAACUGGUGAUGAAAUUGUGGAAGCUCUUAUAGCUAACAGUUCAACGUUUGGAAAGAAAACAGCUUUUUCACAGGAGAAAUACAAGCUUAAGAAACAGAAGAAACAUGCUCCUAAGGUACUUCUAAGGCGCCCUUCUACUCGAAGUAUAUGUGAGACAUAUUUCAAGAAGCAUCCAGCUCGGAUAGGGUUUUUGCGGAUGGACACACUAUCUCUCCUACUUUCCAUGGCUAAUGUUGGUGCAUACUCAGAUGUCCUUGUGGUGGAUAUGGUUGGAGGUCUACUUACUGGAGCUAUUGCAGAACGGUUGGGAGGUAUAGGCUACACAUGCAGUACUUAUUUUCGAUCAAUGCCCUACCCAUCAGAUAUAGUGAGAAUGUUCAAUUUCAGUAGUGAAAUAUGCAGCAGGAUUAUUCAAGCACCUUUUUCUGACCUCUGUUCUUCACAAAACCUUGACAAUGAAAACUCGAAAUCACAUGAGAAUACCCAAUCAUCAGAAAUGCAAUCACAAACCGAGGAUUCUUUGCUGACUGAAUCUGCUUCCAAAAGUUUGAUAGCUUUAUCUGAAGAUCCUGUUGUCCUGGAAGGAGAUUAUAUGCCAGAUUGCAGGCAUGAGAACAACACUUCUACAGGUUGCAAGUCGGCCAAUUCGGGGAGGAAGGUGCCACCAGAACUUGUAAAGUUAUGGAAUGAGAGAGGCUUUAGCAGCUUGAUAGUUGCUGCUCCAGAACUGGAGUUGGGGAGCUUAAUUCAAGAUCUGCUACCACUUUUGUCGUAUUCUGCACCAUUUGCAAUUUAUCACCAAUUCCUUCAGCCUCUUGCAACAUGCAUGCACAGACUACAAACUUCGAGAAUGGCGAUUAAUUUGCAAAUUUCGGAGCCUUGGCUUCGUGAAUAUCAGGUUCUUCCUUCACGCACUCAUCCAAUGAUGCAGAUGAGCGCAUGUGGUGGUUACAUUUUAAGUGGAAUUAGAAUUUGCAGCAGCGAAGCUUGCAAUGGAAAUAAUUGACAGGUGUGAUCCCAAGGCCUUGUGUUUUUUACUUGGCAAUCAGCAAAAUGCAGGCAGGCUAAAGCAACAAACACACCAUCUUGGAAGACUUCCAUAACAACUCAGACCGGAUGAGGCAAUGUGUUGCUUCCUGGACGAGGCUUUUGGAGUUGCUCUAUGGACAGUAAUGAAGACAAAUCUCUUCUUCGAGGUUGACGAUUGUGUGGAACAAGAAGUGACCCCAGGGAGAUGCAAGUAAAGCAGGCCUUCUGGAUGAAGUUUCGACCAAAUGGGAGAAGAAACAGUUAAUUUUAUAGCCAGUUUGGAUCAGAGUCGGGGGAUUUUGGGCAGCGAAAAUGGUACACAGGACUGCUUUCAUCAAUAUUUCAAAGAUCUUUUUGGUGGCCAAAGUCUGCAGUUUCAGUUUCCUCCAGCCAAACCUGUCUGAGUUUUGGCACCACAGGUUCCUUCGGAGCGAGUACCUGAUCCAGUUCCUGCUUCAAGUCACCAUCCUCCAAAGGCAGAGACUCCUCUUUAGAUUCACCCUCUGAAUCUUUCAGGCAAAUUGAUUUUUUUAUUUUCAUAGCACAGACAAUAUGUUCUGCAGACGAUGGCUUCAACUUUCACAUAAAUCUUAAGCUUGUUAACCGUAA